GGUAUUGCCUCAGUACGGCGAGUGAAGCGGCAAAAGCUCAAAUUUGAAAUCUAGCACCUUCGGUGUUCGAGUUGUAAUUUGAAGAUGGUAACCUUGGGUUUGGCUCUUGUCUAUGUUCCUUGGAACAGGACGUCAUAGAGGGUGAGAAUCCCGUCUGAUGAGAUGCCCAUUCCUAUGUAAGGUGCUAUCGAAGAGUCGAGUUGUUUGGGAAUGCAGCUCUAAGUGGGUGGUAAAUUCCAUCUAAAGCUAAAUAUUGGCGAGAGACCGAUAGCGAACAAGUACAGUGAUGGAAAGAUGAAAAGAACUUUGAAAAGAGAGUGAAAAAGUACGUGAAAUUGUUGAAAGGGAAGGGCAUUAGAUCAGACUUGGUGUUUUACGAUUAUCUUCUCUUCUUGAGUUGUGCACUCGUAUUUCACUGGGCCAGCAUCGAUUCGGAUGGCAAGAUAAUGGCAGUUGAAUGUGGCUUCACUUCGGUGGAGUGUUAUAGCUUCUGCUGAUAUUGCCUGUCUGGAUCGAGGGCUGCGUCUUUUGACUAGGAUGCUGGCGUAAUGAUCUAAUGCCGCCCGUCUGGA
rnacentral:rRNA from 1 species